rnacentral:rRNA from 1 species
CCUACGGGAGGCAGCAGUGGGGAAUAUUGGGCAAUGGGCGCAAGCCUUACCCAGCAAUACCGCGUGAGUGAAGAAGGUCUUCGGAUUGUAAAGCUCUUUGAUCAGGGACGAACAGAUGACGGUACCUGAAGAACAAGCCCCGGCUAACUACGUGCCAGCAGCCGCGGUAAAACGUAGGGGGCGAGCGUUAUCCGGAUUUAUUGGGUUUAAAGGGUGCGUAGGCGGUUUGAUAAGUUAGAGGUGAAAUGUCGGGGCUCAACCCCGAAACUGCCUCUAAUACUGUUGGACUAGAGAAUAGUUGCGGU